CAUCGCCGCAGGUACUUGCGGUUGCGGCAGACGCAGCUAUGUAUGUUCGUUUAGUUGCCGCAGCUACCUGCGGUAAGACGCUGCGGCAAACGCUGCGUUCGGCGGCGAUAAUUUUUGGACGCCGAUUAAAUUCAGCGUCGAUGACUAAAAAGCUGCGUUAUAUGUGGUAAAUGACACAAAUACCCUUAUUAUUUUUGAGAAAUCACAAACAAACCAAGCGAUUCUGUUCUUCGAUUCUGUUCUUCGAUUCCUCUGUCACUUCUCUUCUCUCAUCGACGCCGCUGAAAUCGUCUCAUCGACGAAUUGGGUUCUCCUCAGAUUUCUCCUAAAGUGUCCACUCUUACUUGCAUCAGGGAACAAUACAAUCUCUAGCUACAUGGUUUAGAAUCGUUCUUCACUUUGCAGAACCAAAAGAGUCAUCAAAGAGACAUUCAUUUUGAAAGUGUUGAAUUUGGUACCAAACUGUGAGCUUCUCUUAGUUAUAUUCUAUACUAACAUUAAGUUACAUUUAUGAGAAGAGACAAGCUGCACAAAUUAAGACCUAUACUUGUUGGAGUCUCUGCGGAUCUUCUUGUUUGCCAUAAAGUCUUUGCCAUUGACAAUCCUGUCGUUGCACUUCUUCAGGGUCAUGAGGAUUUAGUCAUGGAGUUUGCAAACGUUUUCAAGAGACCCACUGGUUCAUCAGGAUCAAAAUCUGAUAGAGAUAGAUGAGUACAUUAGAAGACUGUCUCUGCUUUAGUAUUGGAUGUUUGGAAUAUAAUGUUUGGAAUAAAAUUUUAUUUGUUGGGGACUUCUUUUACUAAUUACAUACCUAAAAUUAUGUAUAUUAUUUUCUCAAUUGGUUUGGAA